rnacentral:rRNA from 1 species
UAGCCGUAAACGAUACUCGCUAGGUGUCGGCCACGGUGCGACCGUUGUCGGUGCCGUAGGGAAGCCGUGAAGCGAGCCACCUGGGAAGUACGGCCGCAAGGCUGAAACUUAAAGGAAUUGGCGGGGGAGCACAACAACGGGUGGAGCUUGCGGUUUAAUUGGAUUCAACGCCGGAAAUCUUACCGGGACCGACAGCAACAUGAAGGCCAGGCUGAAGACCUUGCCGGAUUAGCUGAGAGGAGGUGCAUGGCGUAGUCGUGU